AGCUAGUCCAAAGGUAGUGAGUUCUCAGUUGAUUGUUCCCUCCCUUCUCACUACUGCAAUCAACUAGUCUUAA
ensembl:Y_RNA Y_RNA Y RNA